rnacentral:lncRNA from 1 species
ACAGAAAAUCUUGAUAAAAUUUUGGUUUUUUUGAAUGAAAGAGGCCCUAGGUUAAUUAUAAACUUUUCACAUACCUUUCGUCAUAUUAUAAAUACUUGUGUAAUCCUUGAAUGUAAGAGACUCUUUUUGGUUAAAACACAGCCACCUCAUGUGUGUUCUCUUCUCAUGGAGAGAAUGCUUGAAAUCUUUGGUAAGGCACGCGUGCUUUGCAAAUUUCGUUCUUUCGACUCCUAAGGAGGUUGUAGAACAUCCAACUCCGAUUCAUCUAGUUCGUGACUUAGUAUCUAUAUGGCGUGAUUGCAUAGACUGACUUUGUCGUUUUAUGAAAGGGUGGAUGUCUCAGCAGUUUGUCGCGGGGUGCAAGAUCUCGUGGUGCCUCUGCAUCAGGUCAUGCAACGAUAGUUAUCAAAUUUACUUAGGCUCUCCACUAUGAAGAUUGGGCAAUGCAGGUUGCAAUUAGUGUGUUCCAUAUACAUAUGCAUCAGCUUGCCCUCGUUAACUGAACAUCAAGUGUCUUCUUCUCUACACUAGUAUAAAAAGCUCUAUGUUGGCGGUGGACAUUUUUUUUACAAGCGGUUUUAAUUAAAAAUGCAUAUGAAAAAAAAUUGGCGGAUCCGAUUCAAGAACCGCUAGUGGAAACUUAUUUAAAAUGGUGUAUUUCCGUUAGCGGUUUGCUUAAGUGAACCGUCGGUAAAAAUUGAUUUUCACAAGCGGUUUUCUUACCAAAACCGUCACUAGAAAUGAGCUAUUUUUACAUGUGGGUUUCUUAAGAAACCGCCACUCUGUAGAAAUAUUUUGAAAUUUUUUUUUUUUGAGUUUUUCAAAUGACAUAUGAAAAAACCGCCAAAAUAAAUGUUGUAGAACCCUAAAAGUUAUAAAUCUUUAUAGUUGAUAAUUUUUUCAUUUGAAAUCAUCUUGUCAUACAAAACUACAUUCGAAGUUGUCAAAUUUGAAAUACAAAUUUUGUAAACGAUCUUGGAUGGAGAAAUUACCAAUAAUUUUUUUCUAUUUUUCUGGAUGAAUGUUUCCACCGGCGGUUGUCUUAGCUGAACUACCAAUAGAAAUCUAUUUCCCUAAGCAGUUGUCUUAACCGCCAGUGGAAAGAUCUAUUUCCACUGGCCCCUAACAAUGGCGGUUGUAAGAAACAUUAGUAGAAAUGCGUUUACAACCGCCACUGCCGAGGUUUUGUGUACAUAGUGUGUUUCAUGGCCUAAUAAAGAAAUUGUUUAGAGUAUGAACAUUUAUUUUAAAUUAACAUAUUUUUGACAUUCAAAGUUUUAAUAUUUUCAAAAAGUCUUUUAUAGAGACACAUUCUAUACUAAAGUCAUAGUAUUUGGCAAGAUAUAAAACUUUGUAAUUGAAAUUGUUUUCAUUUGAGUUUGUUUAGUAGAAAAAAAUUACUAUAUAUAGUCACAAAUAAGUGCAUAAUAGAGUGUACCAAAACCAAAAUAAAUCAAUGUCCUAUAUGCUACCUCUGAUUUAAUGCGCAUAAUAUACAAUCGCUAGUUAGACGUAAAAUUUACCGGC